rnacentral:pre_miRNA from 1 species
CAUGUACUCCCUCCGUUCCGAAUUACUUGUCUCAGAUUUGUCUAGAUACGGAUGUAUCUAGACUCAUUUUAGUGCUAGAUACAUCCGUAUCUAGACAAAUCCAAGACAAGUAAUUCGGAACGGAGGGAGUAUAUU